CCAACGUAUGAAGUGAAAAUGUGGAAAUAUUUGGGCCCGUCGAAGUGAUCGGUCAAGCGUAAUGCAGCUCGGUGUUAACAGUGUGUCGCUCGAAAUGCCAAAUAUACAUACAUACUAAUACUAGGUGCGGUUAACGAGACACUCGUCGCGUCGUUGAUCAAUAAGAUUUGCCGCGGACGAUAGAUCGCGUACGAAAAAGCGGGAAAUUCCCGUCCGCGCAUCAGAGUGACACGUCCUCAAAUUUGAUUUCUGACGAAGCCAACAAUAAUUGUCAAUCGAACCGGCGAGUAUAGACCUACCUAUCUACACGUCACAGAAAAUCUAUCCACACAUCCUGCGAACGCGCUCGAUCUUUUUCAAAUUUUUUUUUUUUUUUUUUCGGGAGGCUGUAAUUAAUCAUUCUGCCAAUUAAUGUAAUCAAUCUAGAUGUCAACGCGUUAUUUCGCGUCCCCUUGUUGCUUCCGCUUUUUAUUUUUUUUCCCUUUGUAUUCGUACAUGUAAAGCGUCAAAGCGUCAUCGCGAGAAAGAGAGGUUGCCUGGGAAAUUGGUUUCGCAAGAGAGAAUGGCUCGACCGGUGACUUUGGAAUCGAAGUUUGGAAAUGCUUUGUUCCCGCUAAAAAAGGUGUUUGAAAAAGAGAGGGUUCUGCGCGGAUCGAUAUAUCGGCUUGACUCUCAUCCCCUCCUGUCCUCGCCCCUCUACUCCCGGGAUGAUGUUUCUCCCAGAUAUCGGUGUGAACAAAUAUAUCCGGUAUAUAACGAGUAUAUUCAUUGAUGAAGCGAUUCUCGCUUAAACUGAACUCGCUUUUAUGUCGUAGAUUAAUAUCUAUCUUGAAUCACGAAAUCUUUGUAAGGAUUGAAACGUGCAAAAUAACAGCUUAAUUAAUUAAACACCGACGAAUGGCGACGAAUUGAAUCGUCGCGUUUCGAUCGUCGAAUUCAUUGUACAACUGAAUUAUUUAACGACAUGUUAAUAUAUGCUUCUGUGUGUAUCGCUCGAGAGUCUCGCUUCGCAUGCCAAAUCACGAUUCGUAAUUAACGUAAUGAAACAUGAAACUGGGGAAGAACCGCUUGAAGAGAGCUAAUGAAUAGUGAUUAGGAGCCUAACGCUUGCGACUCGCUUAAACAAUCGAGCUCUGUGUUGCGGAAAUUAAGCAAGAUUUCCCAACGGCGGGUGGAAAACCGUGGCCGUUCCCGAGAAUGAAUCAUCGUGACGCAAUGUUUCGUAACCCGCGGCUCGUAAAAUUAUCCGCGACCUUCCAUUCUCAUUUAUCUCUCGCAUUAUCGAAUCACCGUCCCUUCGGCAUUCGCGCUUUCAAAAAAUUCUCCCCUUUCCUGGGCUACUCUCGGCAGCAAAGUAAAGCGAUGUAACGCCGCCGCCGACUUGUUGCAUCGCAAAACUUUGCAAACCGAAAUCUCUCGGCGCGCGCGGCCUCGUAAAUUCGCAAUAACCCGCGGAAUUAACGCGUAUUCCGCGUCGAUGUCGCGAUGUGCCCGUAAUUAUAUGCGAAACUCGCCGGGAGGGGAUUACAUAACCAGUGCGUACAAUCGACGAAAACAUCUUCGCGACAUUUCACGUCGAGUAGUAUAAGCUGGAGAUAUCGGAGCUCAAGUUGAAAUAAAAUUAAUCGGUGCACGCGAGUGUGAUUAUAAAUUCGAGUGUUAAAACCGCUAUCGAGUUCAAACGAACCAACGAUAUUUAUUUAUAAUCCUUCAAAGGAGCUUCGCUUUCAUCUCCAACAUUUGCGCUAUUUUUAACUCAGCUUUCUUGAAUAUUCCUUUUUCCACGGUUUCCUUUUGAUGACACAACUUUUUCAAUAACGCCUCGAUGACGUCGUAUCUCGAGAAAUGCAGGAAGUAGAGUGGGAAGGAAAUUUUUUUUACAUGUACAAAUGUAUGACAUUCGCGAUUUUGACGAAACUAUAGAAUAACGGAGUAUGGAUUGUUCUCGUUCUGGAUUUAUUAUUGCCGUACGACAAACGGCUAUGAUUCUCUUUGAGGUCUUUAUUAUCAAGUAAGGAAAGCACUUGAGGAGACACAGUUAUUGAAACUCGCGACGACCCGAUAGAGAAACAAAUUUACUGAAUUACUUUUAGACGCAAAUGCCCUUUGAAGUCGGAAAGUGCCUGCUUAUUUUACAGUUAUAGAAGAAAGCUUGCGGAAAUUUACAGACAAUAGCCACGAUAACUAUAACAAUGGCAAUAUUUAUUCAACAUUGCUGUAUACAUAGCUAUUACUAUCUCGUAUUAAAACCACAAUCGUGCUUUUGUUUCGCAUGUCUGGAGUUCUCUGACAUUUAAAAUUCAUGAACGAGGGGGGCUCAUAUUCGCCAUAUAAAUCUCGCAAGUUUCUCUUUAAAACUUCAAACUCUUUCGCGGUCUCUACAAUUCUGCAUUCAUUUCGAUUCGCGACCGCAAUUAUUGCGCAGCAAGCAUUUCGUCCUUUCAUUCCGCGUCAUCCGGUAUUAACCGGAAGUGUAACGUCAAUUCCUACCAUUACAAACGUAAUCAUUUGCAAAAGCGUGCGCGCACAGUGGCGGCUUUUCCUACAUUUAUCUAUCUCGAAUACGUCGAAAACAUUGCGUGCAUUCGGUAUUCGCGGUUUUUCGCGGUUUCUCGACGUGUCGCCGGCAAAACAAUGAACCCAUCCCGAGUGACGAAAGAAAUUCGAGAACCAAGAUUCGUCCACGUCGGAAGCGUCGCAGUGUUUUCAGCCGAGGAGGAAGCGUCUAUCGAUCAGCAGCUCGACCCGAAAAGAUAAUGAAAUAAAAAAGGAUUGCAUAUAACAAGGAUGAUGACACAAUCAAAAUAAAAAAAUCAAGAGACUGGAGAACGAGGUGGAGAGAGGGUAGAAGUGUCAGUCGACCCCGUGCGUGUCUGGUUUGAAGCAAGACUCCAGAUUAACCGGACGAUAACGCGAUGACGUCUCUUUAUAUCUGGGCUUUUUUUUCGAGACUUUCUUCUCGUCACCGAAUUCGUGACCGUCCCUUUGUACCAACGGAUAUACUCGCGCGCCCUAUCUCUCAUGAAAGAGUAAAGAAGGGAGGAGGAGGAGGAGGAGCGGCCCGGACAAAGAAACGAGACGGUUCCCAAAGUCAGGGGUCACCUCGGACCAAUUUCAGCAAUGCCGGGCAUUUAAAUGGAGCCGGAGUCUGACGUAAUCUCCUAUCUCUCCUGCUGACGCUCGCAUUCCACGAGAGUACCACGAUGAUCACUUCUCUCUCUUCUCUCCUACGUGUGUUGUACGUCCACGUGCGUGCACGCCAAAUGAAAGCGCACUCUAUCCUCCUCCUUGGACGACCUAGCCCGCUGCUUCGCUUCCGUUCUCUCCUCCGUUCUGAUCCUCUUUCUCCUCUUUCUCCUCUUUCUCUUUCUCCUCCUCCAGAGUUCUCGCUAUCGUGCGAUUCAUCGCACGAUCGCGCGCCGUGUGCCACGAAGAAAGGGCGCUUUCACGAACAUGAGGAACAACGUCCGCGCUCCCCCUCCCACCCCUCUUCUCCGGUCAUAAUUCGCCCUGCUGCAGCGCAUACGGAAAAGUUGGAGAUAAAAGGGAACGACGAGAGGAAUCGCAUAAAUCGCGUUUUACAGAGCGACGCUUGAAGUGACACGAAUUUUAAUUGGGCUCGGUAUGUAUCGUAUAGUCGACAAAAUGUUCAAAUGAGCGUUGAAUUAAGCGUCGCAGUGAAUAAACAUCGCGGCAAUUUAAAGCGGAGGUACAUAAUAACUGUUUCACGUCCAGUAAUGUUUUAAAAUAUAAAUCAGUAUUUUUUUUUUAUCGUUACAAUCUUUUUUAGAAAGGAGGAGAGGGGGAAAACAAGAAGGGAGAGACGGGACAUUUUUUUAUAUGAAUUGUAGUUCUCUGGGCAGAGAAAAAUGCAGUAAUUCGCGCGUUAAAACGAAUUUUAAUUGGACUUAACAUGUAUUUUAUGUUGUAGGACACUGAAAAAUAUUUAAACGACUGUCGCGGUAGAUAAUUACUGGAAAUUAAAAAA
rnacentral:lncRNA from 1 species